GGUGUUUGUGUCCAGAUUCCUUCAGGUGAAUUUCCUGCAGAUUCCUCCUUCAGUCUGACCUUCUUGGAUGAUGAUGACUGCAGCAUCACUGUCAUUUCUAAAGCUUCCAUCAGCCUGAAUGGAAACAGAGCACAGCAAGAGGAGGAGCUCCACAACUGAAUAUGAAAGGCUUCAUGUUGGAAGUGAAGAGCUGCUGUGUUCUCUCUAUUGUUCAUUCAGUACAAGUGGAAAUGAUGCAGCUCUGCUUAGUUUGGAUGAUCAUCUUCAUGUUUCACACUGGAUCCUCUGAGGAUUUAGUGAAACCAUUUAAAGAUGUAAUGCUGGCUUUGGAAGGAGACUCUGUGACUCUCUCCUGCAACUAUUCAGGAUCUUUUGACUUCUUCUUCUGGUAUCAACAGAAGUCCAGUUCAUCUCCACAGUUUUUCCUCUCAGAUUAUUCAAAGAAACCAGGUUUUUCUUUUGCACAUGACAAAACAGCAAAGGAGUUUCAUCUGCAGAUCUCCUCUGCUGCAGUGACAGACUCUGCUGUGUACUACUGUGCUGUGAGGCCCACAGUGACAGGAAACACCAAAACUCUGUACAAAAACCUUUGGAGCAAAGACAACAGAAUACUCCACAACGUCCACUAGAGGGAGUCACACACUGUUAAACUUCAGUGGUUUAUGAUCUGAAUUUGUGGUGCUGGUGAUUAAACAAAACAAAACAAUGCAGCAGCAG